rnacentral:rRNA from 1 species
AUUGAACGCUGGCGGCAGGCCUAACACAUGCAAGUCGAGCGAGCGGCGGACGGGUGAGUAAUGUAUGGGGACUGCCCGAUAGAGGGGGAUAACUUCUGGAAACGGUGGCUAAUACCGCAUACUAUCCUUUAACCCUUAUGGGAUUUGCUAGUAGGUGGGGUAAAGGCUCACCUAGGCGACGAUCGCUAGCUGGUCUGAGAGGAUGAUCAUCCACACGGGUACGGAAACACGGCCCAGACUCCUACGGAGGCAGCAGUGGGGAAUAUUGCACAAUGGGCGAAAGCCUGAUGCAGCCAUGCCGCGUGUAUGAAGAAGGCCUUAGGGUUGUAAAGUACUUUCAGCGGGGAGGCGGAACGAGAAGAAGAAGGACCGGCUAACUCCGUGCCAGCAGCCGCGGUAAGAG